rnacentral:lncRNA from 1 species
GGAUCCUUUCACUCCCACCUUUACCCGGCGGCCACAGCCGUGAGUGAAUCCAGCGGAAGGACCUCGGGACGAUGCGGAAUCUUUCUGGUUGGCCCAGAGCAAUCCACAGCACCAACCUUUAAAAGACGCCUCACCAUGCCCACUCCCAUCUGAUGGAAGCCUGCUGUGCAUUUCAGAGUCCUACAGGUGAGGUUCAGAUGGGCUUGGUCAAGUGGACCAACUACCAGCU